UGGACUGCCACUGGGAACAUCUUUCUGUUGCCUUUGUUGGAGGCAUCUGUCUGGAUGGAGAAAGGAGAUUUUUUUGGCAACCUUUGAGUCUGGCAAAAUCUUUGAGAAUUGUGGGUAGAGGUGAGGAGGGUGUUACU